GCACAGUAGUACCACACGAAAAUUGGGUCGUGUCAUAUGGCGAACUGCAUUUACUGUUGCUAGUGUAAUUGCGAAAUGGGGAAAAGCUGAACAUCCUUCAAUGGUGUGAUUCAUGUGAUGCUAAUGAAGUGGUCAUACGCUGACCGGAGGCUGGGUGACGUCACAACAAAUUGCCAACCACUUAUGAAUUAUCGAUGACAGUUGGCAGCCUUGGUAGCUGAUAGGAAAUUGCGGAAUGGAAACUAUUUAUCCUUUACUAAUUUAAUUUGAUUUGUGUUUACAGUAAUUUACAGUUUGGAACAAUGACAUGUGUUAAGCUGGAAACGUAUUGUAAGAAGUGAUAUUUUAGAAGGUGUAAUUGGAAGCAGAUGGUCCACUGUGAUGGCUACAAUCACUUGAUGCUCCCAUUUAUCAUACAAAUAAAACACUAUUCGCUACA